rnacentral:rRNA from 1 species
AGUGAACGCUGGCGGUAGGCCUAACACAUGCAAGUCGAACGGCAGCACAGUAAGAGCUUGCUCUUACGGGUGGCGAGUGGCGGACGGGAGAGGAAUACAUCGGAAUCUACUUUUUCGUGGGGGAUAACGUAGGGAAACUUACGCUAAUACCGCAUACGACCUACGGGUGAAAGCAGGGGAUCUUCGGACCUUGCGCGAUUGAAUGAGCCGAUGUCGGAUUAGCUAGUUGGCGGGGUAAAGGCCCACCAAGGCGACGAUCCGUAGCUGGUCUGAGAGGAUGAUCAGCCACACUGGAACUGAGACGCGGUCCAGACUCCUACGGGAGGCAGUAGUGGGGGAUAUUGGACAAUGGGCGCAAGCCUGAUCCAGCCAUACCGCGUGGGUGAAGAAGGCCUUCGGGUUGUAAAGCCCUUUUGUUGGGAAAGAAAAGCAGCAGGUUAAUACCCCGCUGUUCUGACGGUACCCAAAGAAUAAGCACCGGCUAACUUCGUG